UACGAAGGGGGCUAGCGUUGCUCGGAAUCACUGGGCGUAAAGCGCGCGUAGGCGGAUUGUUAAGUCAGGGGUGAAAUCCUGGAGCUCAACUCCAGAACUGCCUUUGAUACUGGCGAUCUCGAGUCCGGGAGAGGUGAGUGGAACUGCGAGUGUAGAGGUGAAAUUCGUAGAUAUUCGCAAGAACACCAGUGGCGAAGGCGGCUCACUGGCCCGGUACUGACGCUGAGGUGCGAAAGCCAGGGAGCGGAACGGG
rnacentral:rRNA from 1 species